rnacentral:rRNA from 1 species
UACGAAGGGGGCUAGCGUUGCUCGGAAUUACUGGGCGUAAAGCGCACGUAGGCGGCUUCUUAAGUCAGGGGUGAAAUCCUGGAGCUCAACUCCAGAACUGCCUUUGAUACUGAAGAUCUUGAGUUCGGGAGAGGUGAGUGGAACUGCGAGUGUAGAGGUGAAAUUCGUAGAUAUUCGCAAGAACACCAGUGGCGAAGGCGGCUCACUGGCCCGAUACUGACGCUGAGGCACGAAAGCGUGGGGAGCAAACAGG